GAUGAACGCUGGCGGCGUGCUUAACACAUGCAAGUCGAACGGAAAGGCCAGUGCUUGCACUGGUACUCGAGUGGCGAACGGGUGAGUAACACGUGGGUGAUCUGCCCUGUACUUCGGGAUAAGCUUGGGAAACUGGGUCUAAUACCGGAUAGGACAACUUUUUGGAUAUUGUUGUGGAAAGCUUUUGCGGUAUGGGAUGAGCUCGCGGCCUAUCAGCUUGUUGGUGGGGUAAUGGCCUACCAAGGCGUCGCCGGGUAGCCGGCCUGAGAGGGUGUACGGCCACUUUGGGACUGAGAUACGGGCCAGACUCCUACGGGGGGCAGCAGUGGGGAAUAUUGAACAAUGGGCGCAAGCCUGAUGCAGCGACGCCGCGUGGGGGAUGAAGGCCUUCGGGUUGUAAACUCCUUUCGCUAGGGAAGAAGCUUUUUUGUGACGGUACCUGGAGAAGAAGCACCGGCUAACUACGUG
rnacentral:rRNA from 1 species